rnacentral:lncRNA from 10 species
UCUCCUGGGUUUCCACCUUGCCAAAUAUACACCUUAGACUUCUCGGCACUCAUAAUCACCCACGGAACUGGGAUUCCUGAAAAUCAAAUACAGAACUCAUCAUACCAUUGGUUGAAUUACAAUGCAAAGAAAGAAGUUACCAUGCUUGGUGACCACCUGACUACCAAGUGGAAAUUGGACUGCUACUUCACAAUGAAGGUAAGGAAGAGUAUGUCUGGAACACUGAAGGUCAUCCCUAAAGUCUUCUCUUACUAUUACGAUGCCAUAUGAUUAAGGUCAAUGGAAAACUGCAACAAUCAAAUCCUGGUAGUAAAACUAAUAGCUCAAAUCCUUUAGGAAUGAAAGCUUGUGUCUUUCCACCAGGUAAAGAACUAUGACCAACUGAGGUGCUUGCUGAAGGCAAUAGGAAUACAGAAUGAGUAGUGAAAGAAGGAAGUUAUAUUUACUAGCUAUGGCUACGUGUCC